UAAACUUAUCGCGAAAUAUCAGCUGGCGAAUCCCCUCGGAGCAAGACUCUCGUUGGCUGACAAACUGGUUCGCCAGUUGAAAAUCGCGACCGAGACGAGAGGUUGGAAAGCCGCGUUUUGAGCGGAUCGCAAAAAAGAAUAACAAGUUUUUUCCUCGUUCCAUUGGAUGAACGUUGGCUAUAUGAUAUUUUUGGCAGAUGUUGGUCAGGAUUGGGGGAAGGAGAAGGAGGAGGAGGAGGAAAAGGAGAAGGAGAAGGAGGAAAAGGAGAAGGAGGUACUUCAAGUUUUCGCUACGGUACUCUGCAACUCAAAUGCAAAUUUUUGAACUGACUGAAUAUCACAUAGUGAUUCAGAUUCUACAGAAAUAAGAAUGGAAAUAAUUGCAUUUUUAAUAAAAAAUAUCAUAAACAA